CGGUGUUCAACUGGCGUGCCCGCGGGACGACCUGCCGGUGAGCUCAUCCCGCGAGGGCGGCUCAACUUGAAAUCCCAUCGCGGUGCUCUUCAUUGAGUGUCGAGGUGGGCCGGCACGAUUACUUUUGAACAAAAUUAGAGUGCUUAAAGCAGGCUAAAAUUUUUCCUGAAUACUGUGUAUAUGGAAAAAUGGAAUAAGGACCUCUGUUCUAUUUUUGUUGGUUUUCGGAACCCCCAGGUAAUGAUUAAUAGGAAUGGAUGGGGGCAUUCGUAUUGCGACGUUAGAGGUGAAAUUCUUGUAUCGUCGCAAGACGGACUAAAGCGAAAGCAUUUGCCAAAAACGCUUUCAUUGAUCAAGAACGAAAGUUAGAGGUUCGAAGGCGAUCAGAUACCGCCCUAGUUCUAACCAUAAAAUAUGCCAGCUAGCGAUCCGCCGACGUCCCUCUGAUGACUCGGCGGGCAGCUUCCGGGAAACCAAAGCUUUUGGGUUCCGGGGGAAGUAUGGUUGCAAAGCUGAAACUUAAAGGAAUUGACGGAAGGGCACCCCCAGGAGUGGAGCCUGCGGCUUAAUUUGACUCAACACGGGAAACCUCCCCAGGCCCAGACACUGGAAGGAUUGACAGAUUGAGAGCUCUUUCUUGAUUCAGUGGGUGGUGGUGCAUGGCCGUUUUUAGUCGGUGGAGCGAUUUGUCAGGUUAAUUCCGAUAACGGACGAGACUCUGACCUGAUAACUAGACGCACUUGCGGCAUCUCAAAGGUCCGCCGGCGGCUGGCUUUGCGCCCGUCGUCGCGCGCGAUUUUUACUGCCGGCGUACAAUAAAUUCUUCUUAGAGGGACAAGUGG
rnacentral:rRNA from 1 species